rnacentral:rRNA from 1 species
GCAAUUUAGGGUUGGCCGAAGGCUGAUUAGCUAGUUGGCUGGGGUAAUGGCCUACCAAGGCGACGAUCAGUAGCUGGUCUGAGAGGACGACCAGCCACACUGGGACUGAGACACGGCCCAGACUCCUACGGGAGGCAGCAGUGGGGAAUUUUGGACAAUGGGCGAAAGCCUGAUCCAGCAAUGCCGCGUGUGUGAAGAAGGCCUUCGGGUUGUCCAAAGCACUUUUGUCCGGAAAGAAAUCCUACGUCCUAAUAUGGCCGGGGGAUGACGGUACCGGAAGAAUAAGCACCGGCUAACUACGUGCCAGCAGCCGCGGUAAUACGUAGGGUGCAAGCGUUAAUCGGAAUUACUGGGCGUAAAGCGUGCGCAGGCGGUUUGCUAAGACCGAUGUGAAAUCCCCGGGCUCAACCUGGGAACUGCAUUGGUGACUGGCAGGCUAGAGUAUGGCAGACAGGGGUAGAAUUCCACGUGUAGCAGUGAAAUGCGUAGAGAUGUGGAGGAAUACCGAUGGCGAAGGCAGCCCCC